rnacentral:ncRNA from 2 species
AAUACAUACAGCGAUGGAGUUCGCUAUAAGUGCCUUCGGGCUGAUGACUCCUACUCAUUC